CAGGGGACCUGAGGCAGCUGCAGGCCCGGAAGAGGAGGCCGCUGAAGGGCCGGUGGGUCUCCCCAGGUGCAGGGGUAGCAAUAGAGGGAGUAGGCGUCGGGUGAUGGAGAGCCACUGCCACUUCGGGACCCCGCCCUGCGGACAGAAAGACAGACACAGACGGCAACCUGCACUCCAGGAAAAACUAAACUGAACUACACAGAAAAUUUUCAAUGGCAAGGAGUACUCCAUCCUGCGGCAGAUCUCAGUCUGGAAGGAAAGAGAGCCACACUCCCACACAGUCAUCAUCUAGCCUGUCAGACUCAUCAAGAGUCCAUAACACGCACAACUGUCUCCUGUGGCCUUCGAAAUCCAUCACGAAUGUAAGAAAAAAGAGAGAAGUAGAUAAAACAACAACAACAAAAAGUUAAGUAGACAUAUUCCUUCCUCAAGGAAAAGGAGAGAAAGAAGAAAAAGGUGUAAUGAGAAGAACAGAAGGAAAAGUAUCUGCCAUCUGGAUCCCUUUCUUAUGGACUCCAUGGGACAUUAAUAGGUGCUGUCCAUAGUCUGUAGACAAGCUCUGUUGGAAACUUGUAUUAAACCCAGAUAAAUGGGUUUCUGACCUGCAGGACUUCUCAGAGCCUUCAUUAUAAUGGAUACUCUGUGGCUCCAGUGAGGAUGGAGAGAGCUGGAAUCACAGACUGUAUUUUCUAACCUUUCUUUACCCUAGACCCUUCUUUUCACCAGGCAACUUAAAGGAGCCUUUGUUCUGUGGAACCUUCUGGGUAACACUGUUCUAGUCUCAUCCCAUACUCUAUGAGGCUAGGGACCUGCUGGUAUCUUUGUCCCACAACUCCCAAGGCCACUGUCCUUGGUACCCCUUCCUACAAAAGCGCCUGCGUCUCUUUCCUCUUUUUUUUCUCCCCCCUCCCCACCUCUGGCCACCCUUUGUCGCACACCUCAGCGACUGGAGACCGAGAUGCCAUGGCAGGGGCCCAGGAGAACGAACUUUCAAAACCCAAACCCUGGCUGGCCCCUGGCUGGCCACCUCCCGGGAAGGCCGGGCCCCCAGAGCUCAGCGGCCGGCCUCCCACCCUCCUCGCCUCCACCGCGUCCACUCACCGCCUCGGAUUUGGGAGGCACGGGAGGCGGCGCCGCCUCGGGCUCCAGGCGGGGCGGCCCGGCGGCUCCGAAGGAGAUGAGAUCGGGCCCCGGGAGCGGCCGGGUCCUGCUCUCGGCUAGGCCCUCGGCCGCCUGGUGCGUCCACAGCUCCUCGUAGGGGAUC